rnacentral:rRNA from 1 species
GACGAACGCUGGCGGCGUGCCUAAUACAUGCAAGUAGAACGCUGAAGAGAGGAGCUUGCUCUUCUUGGAUGAGUUGCGAACGGGUGAGUAACGCGUAGGUAACCUGCCUUGUAGCGGGGGAUAACUAUUGGAAACGAUAGCUAAUACCGCAUAACAAUGGAUGACACAUGUCAUUUAUUUGAAAGGGGCAAUUGCUCCACUACAAGAUGGACCUGCGUUGUAUUAGCUAGUAGGUGAGGUAAUGGCUCACCUAGGCGACGAUACAUAGCCGACCUGAGAGGGUGAGCGGCCACACUGGGACUGAGACACGGCCCAGACUCCUACGGGAGGCAGCAGUAGGGAAUCUUCGGCAAUGGGGGCAACCCUGACCGAGCAACGCCGCGUGAGUGAAGAAGGUUGUCGGAUCGUAAAGCUCUGUUGUAAGUCAAGAACGGGUGUGAGAGUGGAAAGUUCACACUGUGACGGUAGCUUACCAGAAAGGGACGGCUAACUACGUG